rnacentral:tRNA from 2 species
GGGCCUGUGGUUUAACGGCAGAACAUAGCAUUCGCAUUGCUACGAUCCGGGUUCAAUUCCCGGCAGGUCCACUA